CAGAAUUCACAAAUCAAAUAUGACUCGAAAGUCAAUGAGCCCAAAAGCUCAUGUUUCUCUAAUUUGUUUAUUUUGUCUUCUCCUAUAUGGCCAAGCCUGAGGUGCCAUAAAUACUUUAGAUUUAUCUCAUUUUUGGAUCUAUUAGAUCCUAUGGUAUUCACUGUUUGCUUAGAUAUAUUCACAGAUACAUCCAUAUGUAUGUGAUAGAGACUGUCAAUCAUAAAACCAUUUUGAAUCAAUUUAAUUUUCAAAUAAAUAAAAAUCUUUCUGUGCUAAAUAAAAUACAGAAAUCAAAUUUCUGCUAGCAAUAGGUAACAGUCCCUAAGUAUCUUGAGCAUAUCUGACAAACCUUCUG
rnacentral:lncRNA from 1 species